CCCUGAUUAACAAAAUGUUCCUGAGGAGGUAAAAAACAAAAGAACUGAAGCUGCUGUGUGGAUGUGGCACUGAUCACAUGUUCCACAGGUUCCUCUGGUGUGACCCACCUCAUGUUGGCUCUUCGUGUUGCAGAGCUGCUCCUCCUCACUGUAACGACCGCUCUGCUCAUCAGAACGUGGCGCAGAACAAGAGGUGAAGAAAGGUGUUCUCUUUGUGUUUUUCCAGUGAAGAUGAAAACACCUGAGGGCAACGCUGUGCAUAACGAUAAUGAUGAUGGCGGUUCAGUGAACUAUGACGA